CGGCUUCCUCUGAAACCAGGAGACGUGCCUUAGCUACUAGAAACAGGCUUGCAGGGGCUUUUGUGUCCAUUCAGCUGGAGAAAGUAGGAGUUCGAGAUGAAAUGCUGAAUGCCUUUAUAAAGAAGAAAGAACAGACGAGUUCGCUGAAGCUAAGCUCUGAAGAAGUGGCCAGGAUCAAGAGGAAACUGAUUCUGGAUUUCUGUCACAAAUUUAACAUGCGCAUGUCACAGAGUUGUGUCCGAGGGCAGGUUGUAGCUCUUUGCCACAGUUUCACCUCACUGCUCCA